rnacentral:rRNA from 1 species
AAUCUGGUAGUCUUAUGGCUGCCCGAGUUGUAAUCUAGAGAAGUGUUACCCGCGUUGGACCGUGUACAAGUCUCCUGGAAAGGAGCAUCAUAGAGGGUGAGAAUCCCGUCUUUGACACGGACUGCCAGGGCUUUGUGGUACACUCUCAAAGAGUCGAGUUGUUUGGGAAUGCAGCUCAAAAUGGGUGGUAAAUUCCAUCUAAAGCUAAAUAUUGGCGAGAGACCGAUAGCGAACAAGUACCGUGAGGGAAAGAUGAAAAGAACUUUGGAAAGAGAGUUAAACAGUACGUGAAAUUGCUGAAAGGGAAACGCUUGAAGUUAGUCACGUUGGCUGGAAAUCAACCCUUUGGGUGUACUUUCUAGUUGACGGGUCAGCAUCAAUUUUAAUUGUUGGAUAAAGGCUUAGGGAAUGUGGCAUCUUCGGAUGUGUUAUAGCCCUGAGUUGUAUACAACAGUUGGGAUUGAGGAACUCAGCACGCCGAAAGGCCGGGUAUUUUUACCACGUUCGUGCUUAGGAUGCUGGCAUAAUAGCUUUAAUCGACCCGUCUUGAAACACGGACCAAGGAGUCUAACAUGCCUGCGAGUAUUUGGGUGGAAAACCCGGAUGCGUAAUGAAAGUGAAAGUUGAGAACCCUGUCGUGGGGUGCAUCGACGCCCGGACUUGAUGUUUACUGACGGUUCCGCGGUAGAGCAUGUAUGUUGGGACCCGAAAGAUGGUGAACUAUGCCUGAAUAGGGUGAAGCCAGAGGAAACUC